CUCCUCCCAGCCGGGUUUGUGCCCGGCUGGGUUCCGCGGGCCUUCCGGGCUCUGCAGACCCCUGGAAGCCCAAAGGUGAUGCACCGUACAUAGUGGCCGAUCUGAGAGAAGAGCCCUCCCACUGCUUCCUUAUCGCCUCGCCCCAUUCCAUCUUGGUUCCUGGUCGGAGCCGGUAAGACCCGAGUCCGUAGAUGUUAGGUCCUGGCGGGGGCCAGGUUCAUUCCAGAAACUGAACUCCAGGAGCAGCCGAUUCUUCCGGGAGAAGCUUACGGAAAUGCGCAAUUCCCGACUUCCUCGGUUUACGCCUGACCUCCACGAGGGCGGGGCAGCCGCCUUCAGACCUGCACAGGUGCGCGGUUCGAUGCUGCUCGCCACACCACGUGCGCCAAGUUCCCGCCGAAGUGCAAGGCUUUAGUUUCAGAUCUUGGGAUGCCCUCCUGAAUUGCUAUGCCAGAGAUAUAAGGUAGUACUGUUUGGGGAGUAAUAUGUUUCAAAGUUCUUAAUGUCGACAACCCUGUUAUGUCCUCCUCUUACUGGUAAUCUUCAUUCCAUUACUGAGGUGGUGUUUCUUCCCCACACACCAUUUGACCAACCAUCGGACCAAGAAGUUAUAGAAGCUUUUAACAGGUUACCAUAUGAAGAUGAUUGCUUCAGUAGAGGACACUGAUGCAAUUCAGAAAGGAUUAACCUGUAAUUAUAUCAAAAACCUGGGUUGGGCUGGGAAUAGUCAUUAUGAAACUCUAAAGGUGGAUCCUAAGAAGCCAACUAAUAUUUCUGUUUUGGUUUUGUUUUGUUUGUUUUGAGACAGGGUCUCACUAUGCAGUUGAGACUGACCUGGAACUCACUAUGUAGCCCAGGCUAGUCUUGAACUCACUGGAUCCUCCUGCCUCAGCCUCCUGAGUGCUGGGAUUACAGGCGUGCGCCAUCACACCCGGCU
rnacentral:lncRNA from 1 species